rnacentral:rRNA from 1 species
AUUGAACGCUGGCGGCAUGCCUUACACAUGCAAGUCGAACGGUAACAGGUCUUCGGAUGCUGACGAGUGGCGAACGGGUGAGUAAUACAUCGGAACGUGCCUAGUAGUGGGGGAUAACUACUCGAAAGAAUGGCUAAUACCGCAUGAGAUCUACGGAUGAAAGCAGGGGAUCGCAAGACCUUGUGCUACUAGAGCGGCCGAUGGCAGAUUAGGUAGUUGGUGGGAUAAAAGCUUACCAAGCCGACGAUCUGUAGCUGGUCUGAGAGGACGAUCAGCCACACUGUGACUGAGACACGGCCCAGACUCCUACGGGAGGCAGCAGUGGGGAAUUUUGGACAAUGGGCGAAAGCCUGAUCCAGCAAUGCCGCGUGCAGGAUGAAGGCCUUCGGGUUGUAAACUGCUUUUGUACGGAACGAAAAGCCCCGGGUUAAUACCCUGGGGUCAUGACGGUACCGUAAGAAUAAGCACCGGCUAACUACGUGCCAGCCGCCGCGGUAA